CACCACAAAUUAUCAUCACACACUUCUCAACACCACCACACCGCCAUCACCACAUACCACUCACCACCUAAGACUUCUAUCACCACCACCACCACUUCUCACCUCACCACACACACGGCACCACCAUCACCACGGACCCCUUAUCACCACCACAGUCUGUCAUCACCACACAACUUACACCACCACCAUCGUUUCUCACUUCACCACACAUCACCACCACCAUCAUCACCACCACCAAACACCUGCCUCACACCUGUCUCCUCACACACACACACCUGGACCACGUCGCAGCCUCCCUUCCUACCUGUGAAUCACGAACAUCGACUUGCAGUGGAAAAAAUAGUCACUUAUGUUUAUUAUCGUGAAAACAUUAUUGCCAGAGUGAUGUGAAGGCCAUCACCCAGUCAGUCCCUGGAUAUGGCAGUACUCGUGUGUGUGUGUGUGUGUGUGUGUGUGUGUGUGUGUGUGUGUGUGUGUGUGUGUGUGUUGCAUCGCUCUCACUUUUGUUAGUUCUGAGCUGUUCAUUUGCACUCAAUCACACGCACACACACACGCGCGCACACACACACACACACACACACACACACACACAACGAGAGACACCAAUGAUAACUUUAUAUUUUUUUGAUUCCUGUCUUGAUGGAUGAUGAGUUAGUUUGUGUGUGCGUGUGUGUCAGUGCGUCACCCACGAGGAGAGACACACAAACACACACACACAAACACAAACACCACCCACGCCACACCACCGCUACGCCCGACCACAAACACCUACCAAUAGAAAAAAACACCCUUAUAAUAUAGUACUCAAGUGGUCAUCAGUAACCUAUUCGAGGCCACACCGGAUGACCUCAUAAGACAGCGAUGACGAUGACGACGACCCGCGCCACAAGACCUUACCUUAACCUUACCUUAAUGACCUAGCUAACUAAUUACCUGGCGCGGGUCACCUUGAUUGACAAAAAGGGAGGAAGGACCAACUGGAGGCACCUCGACAGUAGCGCCAUCUACAUUAGGCGGGUGUUUCGGGAGAGAGUUGAGAAAAAAAGGACCUACUACCGUGUUUACAUUUUCUAUUAUUAUUAUUAUUAUUAUUAUUAUUAUUAUUAUUAUUAUUAUUAUUAUUAUUAUUAUUAUUAUUGGUAUUGUUAUUGAAGAGCCUACCAAAAGAUGUUCCCCGUACCCCGUUUUCUUUACAGGCUUUUAAGGAGGGGGGGUUUAAAGGGGUUGUUUUUGAAGGGGGCUACUCUAGAAUGGCUACUAAUAUUUGAUGUUUGUUAGUAUGUGCGUUUGUUUGUAUGUACAGGCCUAUGAAAGGGAAUACCAAAAUAGGAAGUUUAUGUACAGUGCUAUGCUCUUGGGCGUGAUGUGCGCUUGUGUGUGUGUGUGUGUGUGUGUGUGUGUGUGUGUGUGUGUGUGUGUGUGUGUAUAGGCGCUGACGGAAAUAUUUAUCCACCUUACUUUAAAAUCCAUCGUAACUCUUAAGGUUCUUUCCACACGGCGAGUCACUCCUUCCCCCCUCUCCUCCCCUUUCCUCCCCCUCUACUGUCAACGUAUCCCUCGUGACCUGCCGUGGGGAAAGAGAUCACCGGGUCAGUAGGAAGUUAAAGGGCAGGGUGGAUAUAUAUUGUAGCCCGCCGCUGUAGGUGUGUGUAAUGGAUAACCUACUCGUAAGAGGCAGAGGCUUGUUCUCACACUCUUUCUUGUGUUUGCAGGUUGUGGAUGACACCUGGCGGACAGACGCAGGUGAGUACACUAUUACCAACUACGGCACAGUAAUAAUAAUAAUAAUAAUAACGAUAAUAAUAAUAAUAAUAAUAAUGAUAAUGAUAGGAAUAAUAAUAAUGGUUGUCUUGGUAAUGAUAAUCCUAACUCCAACACUACCAUAAUGAUAAUAAUGAGUAACUUCACCAUAAUAAUCAUAAUAGUAAUUGACCAGACCGUGUUAAGGCCACUUUUUUAAUGAACUGAUCCACCAAACUAACACAGCACACACACACGACACAUCCACGCGUCAGGUUACUACCACAAGUAUGUUAUGAUUGAUCCUCGAACGCAAGGACUUGAUAAACGCCACUUCUACUUAUACUACUACUACUGCUACGACGUGUCUCAUGAGGGCUACUUGACUUAGACUUAAAUCACCGUGUUCUUCUUAUUCUCCUCCUCUUGUUUAAACGUAAUAGAAAGAUAGUUGGUUAGUUAGUCAGUUGGUUGGUUGGUUGGUGGAAAUGUUGAGAAUUGUGUGUACAGGAAAAGAGGGAAUAUGACGAAGUAGAACGUAUUAAUUUUUCUUUUUCAGCGGUACGGAUUGAAAUAAGAGUUUGGUGGAGAUGCAAAGAAACUGGAUGGAUCGAAACUAAGGAAAGGGAAAUAAACGAAGCCGGAUUGAAUUUAGAGAAAGGUGGAAAUGCAAAUAAGUUGGAUGGAUUGAAUGAAGAUCAGACACAAGAUGGAUUGAAACUAGAAAAGGAUUAAAAUGAAAAGAAAAAGGAUGGAUCGAAACUAAGGAAAGGGAAACAAACGAAGCCGGAUUGAAUUUAGAGAAAGGUGGAAAUGCAAACAAGUUGGAUGGAUUGAAUGAAGAGGAAGGUGAAAAUCAUAAGAAACAAGAUGGAUUGAAACUAGAAAAGGAUUAAAAUGAAAAGAAAAAGGAUGGAUUGAAACUAAGAAAAGAGGA